rnacentral:rRNA from 1 species
UACAGAGGGUGCAAGCGUUAAUCGGAAUUACUGGGCGUAAAGCGCACGUAGGUGGCUUGAUAAGUUGGGUGUGAAAUCCCCGGGCUUAACCUGGGAAUUGCAUUCAAGACUGUCUUGCUAGAGUGUGGAAGAGGGAAGCGGAAUUCCAGGUGUAGCGGUGAAAUGCGUAGAUAUCUGGAGGAACAUCAGUGGCGAAGGCGGCUUCCUGGUCCAACACUGGCACUGAGGUGCGAAAGCGUGGGGAGCAAACAGG